rnacentral:rRNA from 1 species
GACAGAGGGGGCAAGCGUUGCUCGGAAUUACUGGGCGUAAAGGGCGCGUAGGCGGGAUGGCAAGUCGGUCGUGAAAUCCCUCGGCUCAACCGAGGAACGUCGAUCGAUACUGCUGUUCUUGAGGAUUGCAGAGGAGACUGGAACUCCCGGUGUAGCGGUGAAAUGUGUAGAGAUCGGGAGGAACACCGGUGGCGAAGGCGGGUCUCUGGGCAAUUCCUGACGCUGAGGCGCGAAAGCGUGGGGAGCAAACGGG